rnacentral:rRNA from 1 species
CCUACGGGCGUCAGCAGUGGGGAAUAUUGCACAAUGGGGGAAACCCUGAUGCAGCGACGCCGCGGGAGUGAAGAAGUAUUUCGGUACGUAAAGCUCUAUCAGCAGGGAAGAAAAUGACGGUACCUGACUAAGAAGCCCCGGCUAACUACGUGCCAGCAGCCGCGGUAAUACGUAGGGGGCAAGCGUUAUCCGGAUUUACUGGGUGUAAAGGGAGCGUAGACGGCAGCGCAAGUCUGGAGUGAAAUCCCAUGGCUUAACCAUGGAACUGCUUUGGAAACUGUGCAGCUAGAGUGCAGGAGAGGUAAGCGGAAUUCCUAGUGUAGCGGUGAAAUGCGUAGAUAUUAGGAGGAACACCAGUGGCGAAGGCGGCUUACUGGACUGUAACUGACGUUGAGGCUCGAAAGCGUGGGGAGCAAACAGGAUUAGAUACCCGUGUAGUC